rnacentral:misc_RNA from 1 species
GAUGAAGAACGCAGCGAAAUGCGAUAAGUAAUGUGAAUUGCAGAAUUCAGUGAAUCAUCGAAUCUUUGAACGCACAUUGCGCCCGCCAGUAUUCUGGCGGGCAUGCCUGUUCGAGCAUCAUUUCAACCCUCAAGCCCCAGUGGCCUGGUGUUGGGGACCGGCGACCUCGCCCGGGGGAACACCCCCGGCGCGUCCGCCGCCCCCGAAAUGAAUUGGCGGCCCCGUCGCGGCCUCCUCUGCGUAGUAGCACAACCUCGCAGCGGGAGCGCGACGCGGCCACUGCCGUAAAACGCCCAACUUUUUUUAGAGUUGACCUCGGAUCAGGUAGGAAUACCCGCUGAACUUAAGCAUAUCAAUAAGCGGAGGA